rnacentral:rRNA from 1 species
UGGCGGACGGGUGAGUAACGCGUGGAUAACCUGCCGUAUACAGGGGGAUAACACUUAGAAAUAGGUGCUAAUACCGCAUAAGCGCACGGUUCCGCAUGGAACAGUGUGAAAAACUCCGGUGGUAUACGAUGGAUCCGCGUCUGAUUAGCCAGUUGGCGGGGUAACGGCCCACCAAAGCGACGAUCAGUAGCCGGACUGAGAGGUUGGCCGGCCACAUUGGGACUGAGACACGGCCCAGACUCCUACGGAAGGCAGCAG